rnacentral:rRNA from 1 species
UACGUAGGGUGCAAGCGUUAAUCGGAAUUACUGGGCGUAAAGCGUGCGUAGGCGGUUGUGCAAGACAGAUGUGAAAUCCCCGGGCUUAACCUGGGAACUGCAUUUGUGACUGCACAGCUGGAGUGCGGCAGAGGGGGAUGGAAUUCCGCGUGUAGCAGUGAAAUGCGUAGAUAUGCGGAGGAACACCGAUGGCGAAGGCAAUCCCCUGGGCCUGCACUGACGCUCAUGCACGAAAGCGUGGGGAGCGAACAGG